UAGUAAUCGUGGAUCAGCAUGCCACGGUGAAUACGUUCCCGGGCCUUGUACACACCGCCCGUCACACCAUGAGAGCCGGGAACACCCGAAGUCCGUAGUCUAACCUAUAUGGAGGACGCGGCCGAAGGUGGGUCCGGUAAAUUGGGGUGAAGUCGUAACAAGGUACC
rnacentral:rRNA from 1 species